GACAGAGGGUGCAAACGUUGUUCGGAAUUACUGGGCGUAAAGCGCGUGUAGGCGGCCCUGUAAGUCGGGUGUGAAAUCCCACGGCUCAACCGUGGAAGUGCAUUCGAAACUACAGGGCUAGAGUUCUGGAGAGGAAGGUGGAAUGCUUGGUGUAGAGGUGAAAUUCGUAGAUAUCAAGCGGAACACCCGUGGCGAAGGCGGCUCUCUGGAACGCAACUGACGCUGAGACGCGAAAGCGUGGGGAGCAAACAGG
rnacentral:rRNA from 1 species